rnacentral:misc_RNA from 1 species
AAGCGAUCAGACAAGUCAAUCGAACCCCAGCCCAAUCAACCCUUCCUCUGACCUGAUCAACCUUGAUUGGCGUUACGACCGAACGAGACGCCACCAGCUACCAGUAUUCCAUGGCAUCUAUUCUGAUAGCCCUGAUCGAAACUGGACGAAAUGUGUACGUAACGUAGAAAAAAACGCCGCGCAAAAGAGGAGCACAGGCUGGUACACGACCAGGCAUCAGAGCAACGACAUUCGGCGACGGGCACGAUGACGACAAGGCGUGUUGUAGGAUGCCCAAGAAGAAAAAAGAGUGUGAUAGACCGGAUAGAUCGGUGAUGGGCGGGGAGAAACACCAUCCUGAUGCUGGCGGCGACAGAUGGCGACUGAGUGAACAGUCAACGCUUAGCGGGAGAGGAAGACUUAAGACUCUAGACAAAGCAAACAGGGACCUGGGUCUAAUUUUAUAAGAGGAUUACUUACAGGAUGCCCUGGAUGGUUUGCCAAUCCUAUCUGGCACAGGCUUUUGGCUCAAAAGGGGCUCCGUGGAGUUGAGACGGGUUGAUAGUCCGCCUGCCAUGAACAUCAACACUUGACACAAGCCUCGCCCGUAUUCGGGAUUUCGAAUCACUUUGGAUUGACUGCUUAGUGAAAGACUUUAUGGGUUUAUCACAAGGUUGCAAUAUCGAGUGAACCAAGUGCUGUAAGCCACCAAGACAUCAGAUGACGCCACGGCUGAUGAGGCGCCUGAUUGCAGGUGGCAUCGCCCCUCGAUGGGCAAACGUUCGUUUGAGUCACGUGUGCCGCACUGGCAUGGCUUGGCGGCGCUGUUCGACGGCAUCUCAACUUCCCUCCUUCCGGACAUCUUAGGAAUAUUUUAGGCCUGGCAAGGAUGCCUUUUUAACAGCCCUGAAGCUUAGCAACAAGACGUGCGACCGGUUCCUGUUGCGAGCAGCGUCGACUCGUAUUCUGGUCGCCCCCGGCGCAAGGGCGCGAUUGCUGUCCCCGUUUCCUCCCUCCGGUUAUGCUUAGCUCCAGGAGUGCAGGCACUGCGGACGGAUACCCUUGAUAGAUACCGAGCACUUCAUUGCCUUGUUGCGUCACUAUUUCUGCCUGCUUGAGCCAGACCGUUCUUUACCCUUCUCCCUCCAUCGCUCCUAGAUCGGCUGUCCGCCUUGACCCGAGUCGACGUGGACGAGCAGGCUUGGCCCAAGCCUAUCAAGCAUCGGCAACCUCCAGUUCGGCUUUUCCGCGGCCUUCACGAUGCCCAUCCGUCUCAGGGCAAGGCCCCAGCCUGAGCGGGAACAUGAGCCCCGUCUCGUCCAGGACCGACUUCACACUACCCGAAAUCGACGACAACGACUCGUUCCGCCACGUGCUACGAAGCUUUCUCUAUACUUUGUGAUGCUAUUGACUUGCCCACCACCUUUGAACAGAUGAGAACUACAGCCGCGGGCAACUUCAUCGGUGCUCUCGUCAACCAACUCAAGGACUCGUGCUCGAACCCGGCUGUAGUCCGAGCUCUUUUGCACGCCCUUGCCGACAUCUACCCGUAAUUUGAUUGCUAACAUGCAGUUCGUUUCGCAUAGAGCACUCAAAUGGCACUAUGCCUCAACACAUGAACUCAUGGACCUAACCGAGACGUGGUCGAAUGCGUGCGAGAUCGUAGCAUGGCGCUAUCUGGCCCGCCUCUCAGAGCGCGAAGCCAUGGACUGUUGCCUGUACGGUAUUCCAGACUUGAUGACACUGCGAAACAUCGAGCACGGCGACCGCAGCGGUAUGACCAAGAGGCCGCCGAGACGUCGCCCUUGAUUCCCCCGUCCCGUCUUGCUUCGCGGGAGGUGUCACCAGCCCUGGUCGUUGGGAGCUCACCAAACGGACCAAGCUAGAAAACUCGCUCCCGCGUCUGACGAAUGCAGGCGAUGAUUUGGCCGACGAACAAGACCCGACAUCAGCAUUCAAGGUUCUCAACGCGCUAGAGAUUGCGACCAUUGCUGAUGCGAAGCAUUUCCUCAGCCAACACGCCGUGCAGAGGAUCAUCAGCGGUAUCUGGAAUGGCGAUAUCGUGUUCUGGGACUCGUUGUCUGUUCACGCUACCAACAAGCCCGUUACUACAAUCCCGAGACGUCCGAGGCUUUUUCUCGAUUGCGUGUCCCCAAAUACCUCAAGAGCUGGGAAGUGCUUUUCUUGCCGUAUUCCUUUGCAUAUACUAUAGCGUGCAGUCGCCCGAGUCGAGAGCCGAAUUACUGCCAACGAGGUGAUGCUGUUCAUCUGGAUGGCAGCCUUCGCUUACGACGAACUUAGCGAGUUGAUGGAUGCCGGAUCUGUUUUCUAUGCAACGGAUAUCUGGAAUUUAUUUGACAUGGUCAUAAUCAUCAUUGCGCUUGUUUUUGCCGUGCUGAGAAUUGUCGGUCUGGCGCGGGCUGACGCGGGCACGACUAGCCUUGCAUUCGACGUUCUCUCUCUCGAGGCGCUGUUUAUGAUGCCGAGUAUCUGCUCGAUCUUGAGUUUGAAUCGUAUUGGGGAACACUGAUACCGUGCUUGAGAGAGAUGGGCAAGGACUUUAUCAAGUUUAUGGUACUUGUCGUUAUCAUUUACCUCGGCUUCUUGACCACCUUCUCGCUCAUUGGGCGCGAUUCCUUUAGUCUGGCCAAUAUGACGGGCAUCUUGACGCGAAUCUUCUUCGGAUCGAGCUACGUUGGCUUAGACAUUAUGAGCCAGAUCGACCCCGUCUUUGGACCGCCUCUGAUGUUGAUUUUCAUCACUUUGACGUCGAUUCUACUGACUGGGUCGCUGACUGGUAUGCUCUCCAACCGCUUCUCUCGCGUCAUCACGCAUGCCAAGGAGGAGUAUUUGUACGUGUACAGCGUUUAUGUACUGGAAGUAUCAACCAGCAACAGGCUCACCUAUUUUACCCGCCGUUUAAUCUUUCGCGCUCAUCAUUUUCCGACCGCUGCGGCUUGUAUUUGGCAGAGACGAGAUAUUUCGCGCGGGCCGGAUUGUUCUGCUCAAAGUAACGCACCUACCAGUAGUGGCGGCUAUCAAAGCUUAUGAGCUCAUUCAGCGAAAGCUGAAACGGACCCACCACGUCAGACUUGACGAGCGCACAAGAGCGAAGCGAGCCGCAGAAAGGACGCCUGUGCCUCGCGGUAGACCCGUGUCCGGGCAUCUCCGGCAGCCGAGACAGCCCUUCAGAGACCUGUACUGGGAGAGGCGGCGAGUUGGGAGACAACUACGCAGACUCGUCCGGCCUCGUCGACGUUCAGAUCGCGGAGCUGAACCAAAAACUUGACAAGCUCACGGACCUCGUCAUGGCUUUGCAGGCUGGCCAGACCAGCAUCGAGAAGGCGGCCGAGAGCCAGAGUCAGCGACAAUAAAGAAGUUGACGGCCCCCGAUGAUUUUACUUUGGAGGGGAGGGGGGUUUUCGGUCUUCGAUACGAUACUUGUAGCGAUUAAGGUGCAGAGCUCCCUGCACGACAAGCUCAUUGCCCUGCUCUUCGUCAAGGCAGUUUUAAAAGAGUAAAACGUUUAGAAUCCAGAACACAGGCAAUCGGCAAUACUGGCUGGGUCUUGGCCGGGCGCGCAUGGGCAACAGUCAAUGUUCUCGAAGAGACUCUUAUGAAAAUGGAUUUGAGUUACUACUCAACGGCUACCCAUGAUGCAAGUGUCGAGGAAGAGUAAAUAAAAGAAGCGUCUCGACAGCAACCAGGCCAAUACGAUUGGCGAGUAUAUACGAGUGACCAUGACAGUAGAUAUAUUCUGGAGUCUCCAGCGUCUGGGUAUGUAUGGGGCGAAAAGGCCGAGGUCAAGGUUCGACAGAAGCGAAUGAAGCUUUUUUGUCGUCGAAUGGUGAAUCGUGGCCGAAGUUUUUGCUACGCACGGACCUCAGCCGAUGAUUGGGCCAACUUUCUUGCCAAGAAGGUCGGCCAGGGUAUCGAGAAGAAUCUGGAAGGAUUUCGAUGGUGGCUAGAUCAAGGAGAGAGGAGAUGACGGUUCUGAUUCUGCAUGCUUGGCGGUGUUUCCGUUCAUGGUGUCUCGCAGCCAGACAAGCGCCUUGACGGCGGCGAGGACGGCCAAGCUCCCAUGAUCGGAGGUGAGGUCUCGCUGUGGACUUAUAGACGAAGAGCGGGAUCUGGGGCAAGGCGCCGCCAAGGAGGUUCUUGACGAUGAGCUUGAUGACGAGCGGGAAACAUUGGCUUCUCGGCUUGAAGAAGUCGGAGCGGCUCUGAGGCAGAACU